UUUCGCCGCAGUUUUGGCACAGCCCGGUCUCGGUUCCGAGCCGCUGGGUGCCGCUGUCCGACCACAGCCGGCAUCCCCGUGCCCUGGCACGCCGCUUCCGCCGCCACCGGGUCCGUACACGGCAGCACAGCAGGCGAAAACGGCAGCGCCUUGCAUGUAUCCUUCCGCGUCUCUCCGUCUGCCGGAACUUGAGGAGCCGGGACAUCACCGAGAGAUUUUUUCCCACCGCGCCAAGAGUUAGUGCUCAGCAGAGAGUUGGAAUCAUUACUGCUGCAAGGUCCGGGAGCUCUCCUCAUGCAUCUACCAAUCAGCCUCCAAUCUCCCCUGACAAAAGGAUAUUUGGACUUUUUCCUGGAGAAAUCUCUCAUAACUCAAGGUAACGACGCUGCUGCCGCUCCCAGCCCCUGCGUGUCUGCGGGUGCUGUCGCCGUUUGUGGGAUGCAUUUCUUUGUGGGCAAUCAGCAGAGCUGCCAGCCUCCCUGCUCCCCCUGGAACACAGCUCCACACAUCUUGUAGAGAUGCCAGAUUUGCAGCGUUGUCUUGUCAGUGUUUCCAGGAGUUCAAUAAACAUUUUAAUUAAAGGAAUAUCCUCCGAGCCAAGGCAGCCCCAGCACGGGGCAGGAUGACAGCCCCUCCCUGGCUCCUGGCCAGCAGGACUCUGCUUCCAAGGGUGAAAGCUCCAGCCAGCUCCUGUGCCAGGUGACAGGGAGUGGGGACAUGGCACAGCCACACACAGGUGCCUGGAGCUGCGUUCCUGGGGGAGUUUCUUUCUCCAGCUGCCACAAAGCUGCUACUUCACCUUCUGGGAGGCUGCCCAAGUCCAGACUGUGCCUACAAAAGACCUGGAACAAGCCCUGGAGUGAAGCAUCCCCCCCAGCUCUGGGAAUGGCUGUACCUAUCACUACAAUGAGGGGUUUGUCCCACCGGAAUUCCGAGCAGCUGAUGACAGGAACACCUUCCACAUCCUCGGGCCUGCUGGCUGUUCCCACCACUUCCCAGCCUUCUGCACUUUUAGCCUAGAAAAGGAAAGAAAUCAAGAAUUGCCAAAUACUCAAGCUUAA